rnacentral:rRNA from 1 species
AAUCAACGCUGGCGGCGUGCCUAACACAUGCAAGUCGAACGCGAAAAGGGGGCAACCCUGAGUAGAGUGGCGUCCGGGUGAGUAACACGUGGAUAAUCUGCCUGCGGGCGGGGAAUAACUUUCCGAAAGGGGAGCUAAUACCGCAUAACACCGUAAUAGGGCAUCCUGAUACGGUCAAAGAGGGGGAUCGCAAGACCUCUCGCCUGCAGAGGAGUCCGCGGCCGAUUAGCUAGUUGGCGAGGUAACGGCUCACCAAGGCAGCGAUCGGUAGCCGGCCUGAGAGGGCGAACGGCCACACUGGCACUGAAAUACGGGCCAGACUCCUACGGGAGGCAGCAGUGGGGAAUUUGGGCAAUGGCCGAAAGGCUGACCCAGCAACGCCGCGUGAAGGAUG